UGCCUUUAAAGGAGGCGGAUGCCACUGUG
rnacentral:piRNA from 1 species